CAGAGAGCUUCAAUGCUGUCCUCAAGGCAUUGGUUGGAUGGAAGACGGUCAGAGUAGAUCAAUUGGUUUAUCUACUCUACCAACUCCAAACCAAUGCCUUGAGGGAGGUGCUGCGGGGCUACUGUAAUCUAGGGCAUUUCCACCUGAGUGCCAUGAGCAAUUUUCCAGGCGAAUGCCCACCACCAGUUUCCCCUACCACAUGUCAGAGGAAGACAUGGUGUCUUUUGCUGAAGGCAUCCAGUCCUGUGUGGCACAAGAAGAGGUUGUCAUGGCAGAAACUGGAGCGGAGGCCUUAGCCAGGAUGAUUGUGGCAAAAGGACGGAUCCUCCUGGUGCCAAGCACCAAAUCGUUCCUCUACCAGGGCUUCUCAGACAAGCAGCAUGUGGUUACUCUGUUGCCAACGGAGAUGUGCUCCUGCUCUGCAUCUGACAGUGCCCAGAGGUGUGUCCACCGACUGGCAGCUGUACUGGCCAUUGGCGGAAGUGUGGACAGUCCUAUGCCAAUAAAGCUGAGGACAAGGCAUCUGGCUGCAAAACGCUCUGGCCAUAAGUGUGCCACCAAGGAGCAUGUCCAGACGGGCACCAAACAACAGGAAGAGCAAUCGACCGUUCAUCAACAGGGUGACCAAUUCCAACUGUCUCUGUCUGAGAAACACCCCAGCAGGGAUGACUAAUUGGAGAAUAGAGUGAAGCAACUGUGGGCAAUGUCGUCGGAUGGAAUGGACAGGGCAACCGCACAAUUUUUUUAGGAGGAAUCCGUUGCCAUCCUGCACCUCCAUGACUCUCCUUACAUUGAAGCUCAAUGAGUGGCUUAGUGGUGAGGUAUGUUAAGCUCCCCCACAUGUUAUGGUUGAAUUGUAUGAAAUUUCCAUGCGU
rnacentral:lncRNA from 1 species